UUCCUAUAGAAUGUGGGUAGGCAGGGAGAAAACAACAAUUGUUCUGGCAGCAUUCAGUACAAGACCAUGAUUCAAUACUGUGAACAGAAAAGAUGGAGUGAAGAGUAAGGUAUUAAACAGCUGAUGAGUAGUAGAUGUUUAUAGGCCCACUGCUCCUGGGAGACACACACCGGCUCCAUGGAUAAGCUGUCAUUUUCUCCACCUGCAAAUCAACAGGCCCAGAUCCCCUCCUCAGGGGCUCUGGCCUACUUCUGACUUAUUCUUGUCUACCCUAAUUAUAUCCUUGGCUACUUGUAUGACAAAUCCGUUUCCUGACCAUCCUUUCUUUCUUUCAGAUGCCCAUCAGAUUAAGUACUAAUCAACUGUCAAUUAUCUAGGCCUUGAAUUCUUCCAGAGUAAAGAAAGAGAUAAAAACUCCUACCCACUUGAGGUGAGGACAACCCUAACAGCUCCGUACUUUCAAGGAGAAAUUCAAGUAAAUAAAUUAUCAAGCCACUCCAAGAAGCCUACAACAGUUUCUACCACUGCACUAGGAUUCUAGAAAAUCCAUUCUUUGUUAUCAGGCAUCCUGGGAAGAUAAUUAAUCAGAAAUUGAGGCAAAAUGUCUAAUGAUUACACAGAUUUCACCUUUCAAAUUACCUCUUCUGUGCUUCAAUGUGUCUAGUUCUAUUUACUCCAAGGAAAAAGAAUAAUCACCUCUAGCACUUCAGCAUAAAGCCAGUUACUUCCUAAGAGACAUUCUAGUCAAUACUCAGUAUCAUUCUUAAAGCUGACUUUUAAAAAAAGGGUUUCUGAGGUUUUCAAAUACAAAAACAAAAAGCUAGAAUAUCUUAGUGUUGAUUGCAGAAACUAGGUGGUGUGUAUCUCAGUGUUUACUCAAUUUCUUUUGUCUCGGCUGUAGAUUUGAACUUAAAAAAAUAAAUACUAGGGGGAAAA